GACGAUUUUCGCUGUUGGCGGACGCGAGAGAAUCGGUACAAUUCGGAGGCGGUUCUCGAUGCAAGUACGUGAUCGGCCAGUGUCUACCGGGAUCGUGGGGAUCGAGCCGAUCGUGGGGACGAUCACCGUCGCUGCUUGGGAUAUGUACGGAGGGUCGGGGGCUUGGAAGGAGAAAAAAAUAUGGAAAAUCGCGAGGAAAUCGCGGGGGGCCGAUAGAAAAAAAGCGGGCGGCUACUUGUAGAUCAGGAAUGCGAUAAGCUUUGGCAGCGAAGGCGUGAGUGCGAGCAAAGGGGGGAAAUCGUGGAAAGCCAAGGAUGGAGCAGGCAGUGUAACUGAUGGAUCAGGAGUGUCAAAAAAGUCCGAGAGCCUGCAGGACGCAUUGUGACGAUAAAGACAAUAGAGCAGGUGGCAAUUAAUUAAUUAGGAUUAAUUAGGAACGCGAGAAAUGUUGACAGUGGAGAAAAGAUUGCAAUAGAAAAGGCAGAUUGCAGCUGUUAGAAAUUUGUAAAAAAGCUGCAUAAAAUCAAGGAUAAAGGAAUGGUCUGCAAUUAGUGCAUAGAAAAAGAGUGUGAUGCUUUGUAAAAAGAGGCACAGCAGACGACAUCUGAUGCUUUAAAAAUGGAGUAAGAAUUCGGUGAGCUGUUAUUAAAUUUUUAUAAAGGGCGAUCAGUGAUGCAACUUAUUUUUGCGUGCUCAGUGCAAGGAAAGUUCGUUUUUCUUACUGACAUUUUAUACAAAAAUGUUUCCUCCCAUCUAGAAUAUACUUGCGACGAUUUAAGAGAUA